GUGGGGAAUAUUGGACAAUGGGCGAAAGCCUGAUCCAGCCAUGCCGCGUGUGUGAAGAAGGUCUUCGGAUUGUAAAGCACUUUAAGUUGGGAGGAAGGGCAGUAAGUUAAUACCUUGCUGUUUUGACGUUACCGACAGAAUAAGCACCGGCUAACUUCGUGCCAGCAGCCGCGGUAAUACGAAGGGUGCAAGCGUUAAUCGGACUUACUGGGCGUAAAGCGCGCGUAGGUGGUUUUGUAAGUUGGAGGUGAAAUCCCCGGGCUCAACCUGGGAACUGCCUCCAAAACUGCAUGACUAGAGUACGGUAGAGGGUAGUGGAAUUUCCUGUGUAGCGGUGAAAUGCGUAGAUAUAGGAAGGAACACCAGUGGCGAAGGCGACUACCUGGACUGAUACUGACACUGAGGUGCGAAAGCGUGGGGAGCAAACAGGAUUAGAAACCCGAGUAGUCC
rnacentral:rRNA from 1 species